rnacentral:rRNA from 1 species
CGAACGGUGAACACGGAGCUUGCUCUGUGGGAUCAGUGGCGAACGGGUGAGUAACACGUGAGCAACCUGCCCCUGACUCUGGGAUAAGCGCUGGAAACGGCGUCUAAUACUGGAUAUGUGACGUGACCGCAUGGUCUGCGUCUGGAAAGAAUUUCGGUUGGGGAUGGGCUCGCGGCCUAUCAGCUUGUUGGUGAGGUAAUGGCUCACCAAGGCGUCGACGGGUAGCCGGCCUGAGAGGGUGACCGGCCACACUGGGACUGAGACACGGCCCAGACUCCUACGGGAGGCAGCAGUGGGGAAUAUUGCACAAUGGGCGCAAGCCUGAUGCAGCAACGCCGCGUGAGGGACGACGGCCUUCGGGUUGUAAACCUCUUUUAGCAGGGAAGAAGCGAAAGUGACGGUACCUGCAGAAAAAGCGCCGGCUAACUACGUGCCAGCAGCCGCGGUAAUACGUAGGGCGCAAGCGUUAUCCGGAAUUAUUGGGCGUAAAGAGCUCGUAGGCGGUUUGUCGCGUCUGCUGUGAAAUCCGGAGGCUCAACCUCCGGCCUGCAGUGGGUACGGGCAGACUAGAGUGCGGUAGGGGAGAUUGGAAUUCCUGGUGUAGCGGUGGAAUGCGCAGAUAUCAGGAGGAACACCGAUGGCGAAGGCAGAUCUCUGGGCCGUAACUGACGCUGAGGAGCGAAAGGGUGGGGAGCAAACAGGCUUAGAUACCCUGGUAGUCCACCCCGUAAACGUUGGGAACUAGUUGUGGGGUCCAUUCCACGGAUUCCGUGACGCAGCUAACGCAUUAAGUUCCCCGCCUGGGGAGUACGGCCGCAAGGCUAAAACUCAAAGGAAUUGACGGGGACCCGCACAAGCGGCGGAGCAUGCGGAUU